rnacentral:rRNA from 1 species
AUUGAACGCUGGCGGCAGGCCUAACACAUGCAAGUCGAACGAGUGGCGGACGGGUGAGUAAUGUCUGGGAACCUGCCUGAAGGAGGGGGAUCACUACUGGAAACGGUAGCUAAUACCGCAUACCAUCGGAUGUGCCCAGAUGGGAUUAGCUAGUAGGUGGGGUAAAGGCUCACCUAGGCGACGAUCCCUAGCUGGACUGAGAGGAUGACCAGCCACACGGGAACGGAGACACGGUCCAGACUCCGACGGGAGGCAGCAGUGGGGAAUAUUGCACAAGGGGCGCAAGCCUGAUGCAGAAAGGCCGCGUGUAGGAAGAAGGCCUUCGGGUGGUAAAGUACUUUCAGCGGGGAGGCGUUACCCGCAGAAGAAGCACCGGCUAACUCCGUGCCAGCCGCCGCGGUAAUUC